AUUGAACGCUGGCGGCAGGCCUAACACAUGCAAGUCGAGCGGAUGAACGGAGCUUGCUCCUGGAUUCAGCGGCGGACGGGUGAGUAAUGCCUAGGAAUCUGCCUGGCAGUGGGGGAUAACGUCCGGAAACGGGCGCUAAUACUGCAUACGUCCUGAGGGUGAAAGAGGGGGGGCUUCGGACAUCACGCUAUCAGAUGAGCCUAGGUCGGAUUAGCUAGUUGGUGGGGUAAAGGCCUACCUAGGCGACGAUCCGUAACUGGACUGAGAGGAUGAUCAGUCACAUUGGAACUGAGACAGGGUCCAGGCUCCUGCGAGACGCAGCAGUGGGGAACAUUGGGCAGUAGUCGGAAGCCUUGUACAGCGAUGGCGCGUGUGUGAAGAAGGUGUUCGGAUUGUGAAGCCCGUUAAGUUGGGAGAAAGCGCAGUAAGUUAUGACCUUGCUGGUUUGACGGUACCAACAGAAGAAGCACCGGCUAACUACGUG
rnacentral:rRNA from 1 species